CUGAUAUCCCACGACAUUUUAAUAAUAAAAAUUAAAUAACCGGAACGAUUUUAAUUCUCCGUUUUUCUGAGAUGAGCCACGUUCAGCUAGAGAGAAGAGUGCUUAACUAUUAAGAAGAAAAAAAUGGAACUGACAGUGGCUGGGUAGAAGUUUGUAAGCCUUUGGCUUGCAAAGUAAAGAAACUUAUACAUUAAGAAAAAAAAGAUAUUGUCAGGCAGAACGAUGUUCCGUUCACAAGCAUUUUACGGUGAAGUAGAAAAAAAGUUGUAGAGGGUGGAAUCGAGGAUUCUGGAUUGCAAUGAAAAAAAAACACAACAACAAUGGAAUAUCCGUGACAAGAAAGAUCUGAUCAGAGUGUCAAUUCGUUAUCUGCUAGUAUAAAAUGUUACUAUUGCUAUUUUAUAAAGAUAUUAAGACUGCUGGGUACAAGCAAGUAGAUUGCAGUUGUGCAAGCGUUACAUUACAACGGAGUUUUUAAAUUACUGUGAAAUCGCAAUAUGAUCAGUUUAAUAGCGUGUUUAACAGCUGUUGCCCAUCACUAAACUUACUGGAUGUGUGUUUUCCGUGUUGUUGGAUACACACACGUUUAUCAAAAGCAAAGCGAUUUCAAGUCCUCUUUGCUGAAUGAUAAUUUUGCGGAAUAAUUUUAAGUCACUAUUACCGUUUGAAUAGUGUUUUGGUGUUACCUAAUCAAUUCACAGUUAUUCUGAUGACACUUCAACUAUUUACCGUUGACAAAUGGUUCGGUCAAGUUUUGUAAUAAACAUUAGCAAUUAAGGAAAAAAAAUCUGUGUGGGAGAAAAAGGUGAAAAAAGUUUAUUUUUGGAAAAAUAGAUAUGUAUUAUUUUGAAAGCGAAUGUGUUAUUUUGAAAUGUAUUAUUUUGAAAGCGAAGGUAUAAUCUAAGGCUGUCCGUUUUUGUUUCAACCCAAAUUAAUAUUACUAUAAUAAUUCUUUGUUGAAUGAGUACUUCGUGGUGUUCUGUCAUGCUCUUCAAACUUAUUCAGCAAAAUUACCGAGCUAUCUACGUUUUUCUGCUUGUAGAUAUUUUCUUUCGACUAAAGUUUAACUGAUUUUUUAAAACUUUAAUAUUUACGAAAUUAGUUAAUCUUGUUUGUUCAUUAGUUAACUACUUGUUAUAUCAUAGCCUAUGAGCUAAUUUGUCCACGUUACAUACAACUUGUAAUUUAUAGCAUGCCAGGAAAUAUAUUUAAUUGAUGUGAAGUUUCGAGAACAGCAUCCAUAAACUGGAAUAAUCGGCAAUCUGAUAUGAGUUAUGCGUGUAUUAAAUGAAAAUUACUUGAAGCGCGGACUGCAUUUCACAAACAUAAAUAUCAAGCAUCAAAAAAUAGUUAAAAUUUAAAUAAUAUUUUUCUAUGUUUUUCUAGUUGAUUAAUGUUUAACUGUAAAAGUGGCGAUACCACCACCUGAUACACAGCCACUAUUCAGUCACAAAACAAAUCUUUUCUCCGUUAACAAUGAAAGAUGCAAACGAGACGUCGCGUUGGACCUUCUAGCCUUUCGCACUCGAUAAUAAAUCCAGUUCACUUGUUGUUGCUUCCCCUUAGGCGAACUGUCGAAAAGUUCCGUGGAAAAAUACGUCAACAAAGAAAAUUCAAUACUUAAUAUUUUUUAGAUAUUUGUCUACCGGCUACAUUUGUGUAGAGCUAGACCGCUGAUCAAAGUAACGUAUAGAAACAUGUGCUUUUGACGAGCGGUUAAGAAAAUAUUAGGGUAUAAAAACUUCUCUCACGUCAGAAAAACUUCGAUAAUAUGAACACAUUUUUUAGAGCUGGCGAACUCAACCUGUCUGUUUUGAAACGGGUUGGUCAGAGACGUCAGUUACCUCAACUUAUUUGGCAUUAAAAUAAGUGGAUCGCUAUAAUACAAGCAUGCAGUAUGUUGUAAAGCGGACACAACAUAUUGUUUCAGGUGUAAAUAAUUUUUAAAAAUAACUUUUUCGCAACUUUUUUCCGAAAAAAAACACAGCUCAUAGCCUGCUGCUAACCCAUCAUACCAAAAACAGCCAGACUAUAUUUGUUUUAUUUUUUGAAAUAAAAUCCGUAAAAAUUCAAAAGUUCUUGGGACACCGGUACUAAUGCUUUAUAUAUAUACAGAUAAAGCGUUUUAUAAGUUGAUUUUGCAGAUUUUUAAGAGAGUCUUUGUACGAGAAGGUUGCCAAACUUUUGGCAUAUUUUAAAAUUUUAUACUCUCUGCGCGUAGAGUUAAUUUUAUAAUAAUAUUCAGAAUAAAGCCAAAACCGAUUUCACUUUAUCUUUGCUUGGAAAAUUUAAAAACACAUAAAUAAUACACCAACCGCAUCUUAACUAAGCGCUACGUUUGAUGGAUUGUCUUCUUCCUGAAGUUUUAUUUAAAAAGCACAACAGCUUUGCGCUUUCGUUUUGGCAAAAUCAAACCAUUUAUGCCGCAAUACAGCUGUAUGUAACGACGUAUACACCCUUUUACGAAACAGUUGAAGACAGCCUACCAGUCCACUCUCUUAUCAAACUGAUUAGCAACUUAAAUAGAAGCUGGUGAUGUAGCGAUAUCAAUAAAAGUGCUAUACAGGGCAGGACACGUAAGGGAUGGUGGUGUAGGUGGACAUGUUAGUGUUAAUGGGCCUGAAGGUGUUAAUGGAGUAGGAAUAUGGAAUGAUAAGCGGGAGAAAUUGGUGUUAAUUUGUUUAGUGGGUGGUGAAACGGGUAAGUAUGUUGGUGAAUUAGGAUGUUACAAAGGAAUGGCGGGUUGUUCUCUGUCUUUCCCCCUGUGCUGUAUGUUUUUUUGCAAUACCUAAAGGUCCGAUGAAUGUCAAAACUUUUGACCCCUGGCAUUGAAUGCAAAAUAUGCAUAAGUACUCUGUUAAUGUUCCAAAGAUCAACUAGUCGAUUAUUCAAUUACUAUAAAAACAUACUUAUUCCAAUGUUUAUAUCUAUCAUUUUACCCUAUAUUCAUUCCUAUCAUUUUACCCAAAAUGACCGUUUUCGUAUAUAGCUAAUUUAAAAAUUGGAUCACUAAGAACAAAUAGAGAAAAAAAUAUGACCGCAUGUCAGUUUAAACUUGUAAAUAUGUGAUUAUGCAAGCAAUUCAUGAAUUAUUUUAUAUAUUGUAGUCUUCGAAGAUUAUUUCCGUCUGUUGUCAAAUUUGAACUUAAUUAUUCGUUCACCUUGCUUCACAAUAUUAGCUAAUUACCUCUUCUUAGUUAUAUUCCGGAAGCAUAAAAAAGAUAUCAAAAGUGAACCAAAUGUGAAUGCUGUGUUACUGACUUCCUAUUUGUAUGCGUGUUUUCAUUUUCGGCAUGGUAUCAGCUAUUCCAUAUACAAAAAUGAAAUAAACUUAUGAAAUUCUUAUAUACUGGGUACUUAAGAGAAUUAUUGAAGUGUAUUAUGGACAGAUGAUGACAAAAUAUAUUUUACAUUGUCGCUAACACAGGCAAUAAAACAAAUAAACUUGUUAUUUGAGAUCAAGCCUCCAAAAAUUAUCUUGUUAGUCUAUAAAGGAAACUGGCACAGAAUCUUUCUUCAAUACCAAGUUCUGUACAAAGUUUACCUCCACGCGAGCCUCCUCAUGUGCCUGCAAACAUAUUCUGAGCCAUUCUGGUGGAUUCUAAAAAAUAAGAUAAUUGGUUUUACCUUUCGUAUUUUUAUGACGUAAUUUAUUGACUUUAAGUUGAAUAUUUUUUAAUUAGUGGUAGAACAUAGCGCACAGUGUAGUCAGUGAUUAAUUUACUUUUCUAGAUAUUAUCGCUUUUAUAUACUAGAAUUUUUAACAUUUUUGUCAUAUCUGAAGUAAACCUUAUCGCUAUUUUAUUAGGAAUAUCAGAAUUAUUUUUAAAUAUUACAAACAUUAAGCAGUGUAAUUAUCACAUUGUUAUAGUUUUGACAAAAUAUUUCAUUCAUGAUUAAAUAAUAAAAAUUUCACUUGAAAGUAGCUACUAAAGUCCUAAAUAGACAAUCUAAAAGCCGCUUGCUUUCAUUUGUUUAAAUCGAUUCGUUUGUAAAAACUUAUUUGCGUAAUUUUGACUAAAAGUAAAAAUAAAUACUUACUUCGAGCCAGGAGCCAGUCCUAUAAAUCGUGAGGAGGAUCUAGCCUACAUUAAAAAUAUAAAGGGUCAUUAUGAAUUACUGACGAUAUGGUACAACAGCAAAUUAUUGCCGAAAUUAUUGCCAAAAUUAGUUAUGGCUAUGAAAAGACUAUUCGUAAUUUAAAUUCAAAAAGUAACUAAUUUAUUAAACCUCCUUGAUUAAAUAGCCCAAGAACUUAAAAAAACUGUCUUUAUAGAAAAACGUCACUGUUUUAAUCUUGUAAAAUACGAAUGUUGUGUUUAAAAACCAAAACUAAAUAGGUGUUAAAAUUUUUAUACGAAUAUUUUUACCUGAACUUUUAUUGUAUGCCGUGAAAGCAAAAGUAGAUUUUGUAUAUUUCGUAUGGGCAUUAUUACCAAUUAAUAGCUUUGGGCUUGUUAUCGAGUAAUAACUAUUAUAAGUUAAGAGUAUUUUUCUAAUUAUAACCCAUAAAAAAGGAGAUUGUAUAAAGCCACUAGUUUUUUUCAAAAGUUAAAUUCAUUGGGGAGGUCGAAUUCACUCAUUAAUCAGAAACAAAAACAAAGAAGAGAUUGAAUGUACUCAGAAUAACAGGUUUUAAGAAGCAACAACAUUGGGGAGAUUGAAUUCACCCAUAAAAACAAAUUUUCAAAGCAAUAACAAAAUUGAGAAAAUUGAAUUCACCCAUAGAAUAAAAUUUUAAAGGCAACAAAACUAGAAAGAGCUAUAUUUUAAAGAGUAACUUUUGUUAAAACAGAAUGGAGGAAACGGAAAUCACUCUACAUUCGCAACAUUUUCUGUUAAAACAAUUAUUUGCAACAACAGCAAAAAAUGUAGAUAGUAUAUAGGGACAGUGGGAAUCUCGCUAAUACAUUCAUGCGCGACAUUUGAGGCAAAAUUCCAAUCACCUUGUCUCGUCUUGCACACC